AUACGGAGGGUGCAAGCGUUGUCCGGAUUUAUUGGGGUUAAAGGGUGCGUAGGUGGCGUGUUAAGUCCGUGGUGAAAGCCUGCAGCUCAACUGUAGAGGUGCCAUUGAUACUGACAUGCUUGAGUAUGGACGAGGUAGGCGGAAUUUGUGGUGUAGCGGUGAAAUGCAUAGAUACCACAAAGAACACCGAUAGCGAAGGCAGCUUACUGGACCAUAACUGACACUGAGGCACGAAAGUGUGGGUAGCGAACAGGAUUAGAUACCCUAGUAGUCC
rnacentral:rRNA from 1 species